GAAGAGAUGCUUUAGAAGUGUAACGUUAAGUAUGGCCAUCAUAACUGUGAAAAGAGAGCACAGCUAACGUUAUAUAAACAUUAUCCCCCAGUUUCAGACAAGUUUCAGACUAAAAUGCAUGUUCAAGCUGUCAUGACUGAAAAUAUCUUGUACUGGCACAUCUUAAAAUAUGUCCGUGCCAUUGUUGUGUCUCAAGAUGCACACCAGUAAUGUUCUUAAGGCAUUUUUAUAGAAGUUAUUUAAAUAUCCUGAUUUAACCAAGGCCUAGUCCUGGCUUAAGCUAAGCCCUGUCUGUGAAACCCUGUCUCUAUGUUCAAACAUGGAAGUUAUACAAGAAUGAAACAAUGUCGUUGUUCACAUCAGACAUGUACAUACAUUUAAAUUACUUUAUGCACUAAAACGUACACUUAUGCCACCUCACAGCAGACCUCCAGAUCAGCUGUAUGUCAUGUGGGUUAACUGAGACCUGUUCUGAGGAGGAUCACUUUAUUGACAGAAAAGUUGUCAGCGACAAGCCUGACAUCAUCCAAAGGCCAGCUCUUUUUACAGUAAACUAGGAUGCAGCUGACAAGACAGACUCCAGUAAGAAUCCUCAGUGUUGAUCAAGCAAGUCUACGUCUAACCCAUCUAGAGCGGGAAUCAUCUUGAAAGAAAACUUCCAUUUCCAUUCUAUUUCCAUUUUUUUCAGACUGAUUUAUGCCCUGCACCUGGACUAAGUGUUUGAAAAGCACUUUAUAUUUUAUUCAGCAGGUAAUGCUCAACCUCGGAAAAGGUGGGUUAACACAUAAAAUUCAGUACUGCCAAUAUUUUGGAAUAAAACCAUAUAGUUUUGAAGCCGU